rnacentral:rRNA from 1 species
ACUCCUACGGGAGGCAGCAGUGGGGAAUAUUGCACAAUGGGCGCAAGCCUGAUGCAGCCAUGCCGCGUGUAUGAAGAAGGCCUUCGGGUUGUAAAGUACUUUCAGCAGUGAGGAAGGUUCAUGCGUUAAUAGCGUAUGGAUUUGACGUUAGCUGCAGAAGAAGCACCGGCUAACUCCGUGCCAGCAGCCGCGGUAAUACGGAGGGUGCGAGCGUUAAUCGGAAUUACUGGGCGUAAAGCGCAUGCAGGUGGUUUGUUAAGUCAGAUGUGAAAGCCCGGGGCUCAACCUCGGAAUUGCAUUUGAAACUGGCAGACUAGAGUACUGUAGAGGGGGGUAGAAUUUCAGGUGUAGCGGUGAAAUGCGUAGAGAUCUGAAGGAAUACCGGUGGCGAAGGCGGCCCCCUGGACAGAUACUGACACUCAGAUGCGAAAGCGUGGGGAGCAAACAGGAUUA